rfam:Cephalotus follicularis DNA, scaffold: scaffold3000, isolate: St1.
GUGAAACGGGUCAUGGUCUUGGGUCAAGAGUUAACCCAUAGACCAAGGCCCAAAAAUCUAU